CAUCAGUUCAUCCAUCUCUCCUCCAGAGCACUGGAAUAUGCUCUCAGAAGGAGAUUCAAGUUUGAGAGGCACUGAUACAGUAAAGGACACACUGAUUUGGAGACUGGACAGACCUGUGUUUGAAUUCUGGCUCCAUCCAUCACUCCCAAGCUGUGUGACCCUGGCUCAGGUCAUGAUCUCCGGGUCCUGGGAUCAAGCCCUGCUCAGUCGGGAGUCUGCUUCUCCCUCUCCCUCUGCUGCUCCCCUGCUUGUGUGCUCUUACACUGUCAAAUAAAUAAAUAAAAUCUUAAAAAAAAAAAGUAA
rnacentral:lncRNA from 1 species